CAACAGCAGUCAGUCUGGCGUGUGUGAGCUCAUGUACAAGGAAGAGGAGGUUAUCACUCUCCUACAGAGAACUAGAGCAUGGCUGGGAAGUGGGAGUGGGAGAAGAUACAAGAACUUAUUUUAGAAAUAAUAAUAAUUUUUAAAAAAACUGGCGCUUCCUACUGACCACGCCUGCUGGUCCUUCAGAACUUCAGAACACAUUCUUUAGAGGUAGUUUUUUAUGUUUAGGUUUACUCCAGGAACUGAGAUAACAUCUGAAAUGGAAUAAACAUCCUGAAAAUACCCUUUUGGUAAACUGAAUUAAGUGCUACCACAGCUCUCUCAUACUGCUGAGGAUAAUCUGACUCUUGCAGCAGGGAUGAUAAACGCUCUUCCGCCAGCUCCUCCUCCAGCUCCACCCUUCCUGCAAUCGACCUUCUGAAGCUGAAGCUUGCUCGUAUUGCUGUAGUUCAGUACAGUGAAAUGAUUCUAAUCUUUUACUUACUGUAACCUGAGAGAGUCAUGGUGAUAAAAUGAAGUGAAGAUUAUAAAGCAAAAUGGGGACCUGCUUCCCCCGUCACCGAUUGAGUCUGCUUUUCCUUUUCAUAUCAGAGAUCUUCAGCUCUGUUGGUGGAUCUUCAGGUCAGGAGCUGCUCGGUGCUGUAGGCGAGUCUGUUACUUUCCCUACCAGUGUGCCUGUUUCUGGCAAUCUAAUUUAUAAAGGCAACACAGUUGGACAGGUGUUUAAUAAACAGAGUGACACAAAUGUCAGUGAGAAGUUCAUGAAUCGUCUUCACUGGGUGAGUCAGAGUGGGUUCUUCACUCUCUCAGACCUGAGAACAGAUGAUUCAGGACUUUACACAGCGGAGAGCACUAAAGAGCUGAAGGGAAAACAGGAUUAUCAGCUGGAGGUGUACAAGAGAGUUUCAGCUCCUCGGGUGAUGAAGGCAGCCUCCAGUUCUUCAGAGUUCUGUUCAUUACUGUGUUCUGUGAGGAACGUCAGAGGACUGAAGCUGUUUUUGUAUGAAGAUGAUGUUUUAUUAAACAACGCCAGCAGCAGCAACACAUCCAACAUCAUACUCAAUCUUCAUCUGGAAAUAAAAAAGACGGACAAUCGCACCUUCAGCUGUGUGGCUUCCAACCCAGUCAGUAAAGAGUCAACUCCAAUCAACAUCUCACAGUACUGCUCUCUGGACACAGAAGAUGACGUUAGUCCUCCUCGGUCCAGUGUGCCCAUUGCUGUCAUAUGCAGUGUGAUUUCAGUCCUAGCAAUAAUCGUGAUGUUUGUGUGUCUGUGGAAAAGGAAACAAAAGGAAUCCAGGAGGCGUACAGAAGGCAGACUCAUCUGCAACUGAAGGACUGAAUGAAGAAAUACAGUAUUCUGUGGUAAAUCAUAAAAAUCCCACUCAGGCAAAUAUACGAGAACCUGCCUCUGAGGAAGUCUGUCCGCUGACGACCAUUUAUGACCAAAUUAGAAUAGAGAGAACGGCUGACUGCGACAGUAGCAGAACAGAAUAAACCGGAACUGGAGGGUGCUUAUCUUAUUAUAUUGCUUGAAGAAAAAACUUCCACAUAUUUUAUAAAGACACAAACAAAAGGUUGCACUAAUAAAAAAGGGUUUUUAAACUUUUUAACCAAAACAUCAUAUUGUGCUUAUGCUUAUGUUCUUUAUUCAGAUGAAAGGUUUUGAGCUUAACAGGUGGUUUCUGAAUUUUUUUUUACAGUUUAAUGCAGCCGAAAAACCUUUGAGUGAAUGUCUCUGCAUUUAUAAUAUAUAAUAUAAUAUAACAAUAUACUAAUAUAAUAUAAUAUAAGCUUAUUUAUUUAAAUAAAACCCUUCAUCUACUGCAAAAAAGGUGUUUCAGUUAUUGUUUUUUCCAAUGUUCUGCUUUUGUAUGUCAGUAUUCUGCCAGUGUCAACAGACCUGAAUGCGAUCUGUCAUUUAUGGCUCAGUGAGCAGCUGUUCCUUUAUCUGAUGUGGUUGUGAAAGAACAAUGAGGCCCUAAUCAUCAGGAUGCUGCUGUAUUCCAGUUCCUCUUGUGUGGAGUGGGAAUGAGUCCAGGUGGAUCCUGUAAUUCAGUGAGGGGAAUUUUGGGAAGAGAAACGUCGAGUGAACUGACACACAGACAUGCAGCAGAAGCUGAACAUGAAUUAUACUGUAGUUAUAAAGUUGCGUCUGAUUUAUAACCAUGGAACUUUUUCAGGUCAUACUCUGACAGUCUGAUAAAGCCAAUUAUUUAAUAUUUUACCACCAGUUACCUAGAUUUACUGCUAUACAACUUCAUGACCUGAUAACUAAGAUUAUUCAUAAAAACAUUUCAGGUCAAACAUGUCCACUUUCACACCAAUCUUUCAUUUUCAUAAAUUCACCCUGUAAAAAUAUCUAAAGCAACAACCACAAGACCAUCAGAUUUGACUUAUACAGUUUCCACUUGUGGCAAUGGAACAUACUACUUUUCUGUUCUGGACUUUUAAGGUCACUAGUUUCGUUUUCACAUAGCCUCAGCUUUUCUGCAUUUGCAUAUUAAUUUGUAUAACCAGUAUCACCAGGGGAACUUUAUCAUUCGCACAACAAAUUUGUAGUAUAAUAUUUUAGUCCUGUGUAUUUACGUGAAGAAGUUGUUGUGCUGUAAUACAUUUGCUUAAAGUGUUUCCCUUAAAGUCCUGUAGUUAUUCUAAUCUCACUGUAUAUUCACACUCACACGCAACAAAGCAACAGGUGACUUCAUUUUCUACGUAUGUGCCUAACUUCAGUUACAGAGCAACCAAUGAACUGAGAUUUCUAUGCAGAUUAGGUAUGAUGUUGUGCACUAAUAAAUCCAAAUGCUCACAUGAUUCCUCAGACCAGUCCUAUGGUGUGUGUGGUCCAAUAUUUCUUCAGUUCCUCACUCACAACUUUAGUUCCUACCUGCAGUUAGUUCCUGUUUACUGUUUAACAGAAAAAUAGAAAAACUGAAGUUUCAUCUUCUCCUGUCGUAUAUAACCUCUUAUUAAAUAUGUACAGCGACAUUAUGAAGGAAAAUAAAGCUCAGGAGGAAGUAGCAGAGAUGGUUGGGGUCUCUAGUGAGGGUAUGUAGUUAUGUCAGUGAGCUUAUUUUGCUAAUCUAAUAAGCACAAAGCUGAUCAUUUAACGUAAAUCAAACAAUUAAUUCUCACUCUGAUUACUGCAUUAAUUAGUUUGUGUUUAAGUAAUAUAUAGCUACUGUAUACAUAGUGAUAUAUAGCUAUGUAUCUCAUUAUAACUAAAAAAACUAAAAAAAAAAAAAAAAAAACUGGACAAGCCACACCCAUUAGCAACAGCAGCGGUGAGAAUACACACUGACUGUCCACUAGACACUGACUACAAGCAACAACUCAAUCACUUCCUAGUGGGAACUCAGGGUUAAACUUUUUCCAAAUAAGAACAUGUUAAUUGUGCUGAAGCAGACACUAUAUUACACUAUAAU